GUAAUGGCUCACCAAGGCUAUGACGCCUAUCUGGUCUGAGAGGAUGAUCAGACACACUGGAACUGAGACACGGUCCAGACUCCUACGGGAGGCAGCAGUGGGGAAUAUUACACAAUGGAGGAAACUCUGAUGUAGCAACGCCGCGUGGAGGAUGACACACUUCGGUGCGUAAACUCCUUUUAUGUGAGAAGAUAAUGACGGUAUCACAUGAAUAAGCACCGGCUAACUCCGUGCCAGCAGCCGCGGUAAUACGGAGGGUGCAAGCGUUACUCGGAAUCACUGGGCGUAAAGCGCGCGCAGGCGGCUUUGUAAGUUGGAUGUGAAAUCCUAUGGCUCAACCAUAGAACUGCAUCCAAAACUACUUAGCUAGAGUCUGGGAGGGGAAGAUGGAAUUAGUGGUGUAGGGGUAAAAUCCGUAGAGAUCACUAGGAAUACCAAAAGCGAAGGCGAUCUUCUGGAACAGUACUGACGCUGAGGCGCGAAGCGUGGGGAGCAAACAGGAUUAGAUACCCUGGUAGUCCACGCCCUAAACGAUGAAUGUUAGUCGUCGGGAGGCUUGUCCUUUCGGUGAUGCAGCUAACGCAUUAAACAUUCCGCCUGGGGAGUACGGUCGCAAGAUUAAAACUCAAAGGAAUAGACGGGGACCCGCACAAGUGGUGGAGCAUGUGGUUUAAUUCGAAGAUACGCGAAGAACCUUACCUGGCCUUGACAUUGAUAGAAUCUGCUAGAGAUAGCGGAGUGCCCUUCGGGGAGCUUGAAAACAGGUGCUGCACGGCUGUCGUCAGCUCGUGUCGUGAGAUGUUGGGUUAAGUCCCGCAACGAGCGCAACCCUCGUCACUAGUUACUAACGGUUCGGCCGAGGACUCUAGUGAGACUGCCUUCGCAAGGAGGAGGAAGGUGAGGACGACGUCAAGUCAUCAUGGCCCUUACGGCCAGGGCGACACACGUGCUACAAUGGGAUGUACAAUGAGACGCAAUACCGCGAGGUGGAGCAAAUCUAUAAAGCAUCUCUCAGUUCGGAUUGUAGUCUGCAACUCGACUGCAUGAAGCUGGAAUCACUAGUAAUCGUAGAUCAGCCAUGCUACGGUGAAUACGUUCCCGGGUCUUGUACUCACCGCCCGUCACACCAUGGGAGUUGAUUUCACCCGAA
rnacentral:rRNA from 1 species